GACGAACGCUGGCGGUGUGCUUAACACAUGCAAGUCGAACGGAAAGGCCCUGCUUGUGUGGGGUGCCCGAGGGGCGAACGGGUGAGUAACACGUGAGUAACCUGCUCUUGACUUUGGGAUAACUUCAGGAAACUGGGGCUAAUACCGGAUAGGAGCUCCUGCUGCAUGGUGGGGGUUGGAAAGUUUCGGCGGUUGGGGAUGGACUCGCGGCUUAUCAGCUUGUUGGUGGGGUAGUGGCUUACCAAGGCUUUGACGGGUAGCCGGCCUGGGAGGGUGACCGGCCACAUUGGGCCUAAGGGACGGAGCAGACGGCUACGGGAGGCAACAGUGGGGAAUAUUGCACAGUGGGCGGAAGCGUGAUGCGGAGGCGCCGGGUGCGGGAUGACGGCCUUCGGGUUGUAAACCGCUUUCGCCUAUGACGACGCGUGAGUGACGGUAAUGGGUAAAUAAGCACCGGCUAACUACGUG
rnacentral:rRNA from 1 species